UACCCUGUUUCUAAUACUCACGCACCAAAACAAACAAACACUCUGCUUUAACAAACGUUCUCCAUAGUCCAUACAUCUCACUCAAAAUCGAAAUGAACAACAACAAAUAAUUUUCAGCAAAUAAAAAACGCAUAAAACAUAGAUCGAGCACUGAGGGUUUUAAACUUACCGAGCCGGAAAUCCUCGAAUGAUGUUGGCUCAAGUGGCGUUGAAAUUGCUCUCGCCUCUCUGCGAAUUGUUUGUCCGAUGGUGAUGGCGAUGUUUAUGCGUCCGAUGCGGAGUGGGUGCGUUUUGCUGAAGCUGAGCCGCUGAAGAUGUUGUGAUGUAUGUCACGGAUCCGCAGAUGCAAGCUCGUUGAGAAUUGCUGUGUUAAAUGAUACUGAAUGUCGAGUUGCAUUUGAUUUGAAGAUUAGGGAAUGGUUGAUGCUGCUUUCUUUUGAUCUGAAUCUUGCGGGUCUCAAAGUAUUUCGCGAUGUCGUGGAUUCGGAGAUGGUGCAAAGUGUUGUCGGUUUAGCGUGAAGCUGCUGCGUUACGGAGCUUUUCAGCGGGGGAUGCGCGGAUGAACUCUUUGCGGUUUUGACACCAAUUUUCAACAGAAACAGAGAUUGUCUUAGAAGCAUGAGGUUGUUAUAGAAGCAUGAGGUUGUUGAAUGCAUCGAUUCUCCUGCUGGUACUGAAUGGAAGCUUGACGUUGGAGUUGGGUUGUCACGAGUCCCUUCAUUAUUUCCCUACAAAACAAGAGAACAAGGCUUGCACAUAGUGUGAUUCGUUAUUUCCGUCAAUUUUGUUUGCAGAAUUUGAAAAGAAUUUGAAUAUGUUUAUUGUGUAAUAUUUACAGUGUUCUUUAAAAAGGUAAAAAAAGUAUGUACAUAGUGUAAAAGGUGGGUUUGUAACUUAGUUCAUGGAUCAAAGAUGGGUUUGAUAACUUAA